ACAAACCCAAAGCUACUCUUCUUCUGAAUGAAUACAGCAAGAAAAUGAGUCCUAGAGACAUGUCAUUAUACCUUUCCCAGUCCUCCUUAUAGAAGUUUUCUCUUGCAGUAGUUGGAAAUCAGCACAGAGAUCAACAACUGGUCAAAAUGCAGAGUGAGAGACUUUGGACCACCUAGUCAUAAAUUGGAUGUCUUCAUCAAACCUCCUCCAUCAAGAUUCAGUGUUUAUGUAGAAAAGGAAGCAGAAUGAUUAUAACAGCCAGUGCUUAUGGAUAAGGUCAAAGAAACUUUAUCUUCCAGACACAACAGGACCAAGACCAAUGCACAUAUGAACUCAGAGACUAUGUCCAUACACAGAUGAUUUGCACAGGUUCCAACAAGACAGGGUGCCAGCACUAAGAGGCGGAAGAAGACACAGGCUGCCAUCUAUAACCAGGACGCAGUUUGUAAUUGAUAGCUGUUGGCAAAAGGAAAAAAAUCAGUGUUCUACUUGAAGCAUCACUGGGUAUAUCAAAGGCACUCCAGAGCAGACACUAUGACCAGGGGAAGUUGAUCAACACAAAGGAAGCAGUGUUCAAUUUUGUGUUUGUGGUAUUGUUGGGGGCUGAUUGUUCUCUUGUGGCAUUUUUGUCUUAUUGGUGCAAGAUAUUCCUGAGAAUAGUCUGAAAAGUGGUGCGGAUGACUUACCAAUAGCUUCCAAACAAUAUGAAAAUGUAGAAGAACAAGAAG